rnacentral:rRNA from 1 species
GACGAACGCUGGCGGCGUGCCUAACACAUGCAAGUCGAGCGAUGAAAUCCCUUCGGGGAUGGAUUAGCGGCGGACGGGUGAGUAACACGUGGGCAACCUACCUCAAAGUGGGGGAUAGCCUCCCGAAAGGGAGAUUAAUACCGCAUAACAUUAGUUUUUCACAUGAAGGACUAAUUAAAGGAGUAAUCGGUUUUGAGAUGGGCCCGCGGCGCAUUAGCUAGUUGGUGAGGUAAUGGCUCACCAAGGCGACGAUGCGUAGCCGACCUGAGAGGGUGAUCGGCCACAUUGGAACUGAGACACGGUCCAGACUCCUACGGGGGGCAGCAGUGGGGAAUAUUGCACAAUGGGGGAAACCCUGAUGCAGCAACGCCGCGUGAGUGAUGAAGGUCUUCGGAUUGUAAAGCUCUGUCUUUUGGGACGAUAAUGACGGUACCAAAGGAGGAAGCCACGGCUAACUACGUGCCAGCCGCCGCGGUAAAAC